rnacentral:rRNA from 1 species
UACAGAGGGGGCAAGCGUUAUUCGGAAUUAUUGGGCGUAAAGGGCGCGUAGGCGGCCUGGCAAGUGGAAGGUGAAAUCCCUCGGCUUAACCGAGGAACUGCCCUCCAAACUGCUUGGCUUGAGUCCGGGAGAGGUGAGUGGAAUUUCCGGUGUAGCGGUGAAAUGCGUAGAUAUCGGAAGGAACACCUGUGGCGAAAGCGGCUCACUGGACCAUUACUGACGCUGAUGCACGAAAGCUAGGGGAGCAAACAGG